rnacentral:piRNA from 1 species
UGGUAAAGGUGGAAAAGGUUUGGGUAA